rnacentral:rRNA from 1 species
AGCGAACGCUGGCGGCAGGCUUAACACAUGCAAGUCGAGCGGGCACUUUCGGGUGUCAGCGGCGGACGGGUGAGUAACGCGUGGGAACGUGCCCUCUGGUUCGGAAUAACUCAGGGAAACUUGAGCUAAUACCGGAUACGCCCUUUUGGGGAAAGGCUUGCUGCCGGAGGAUCGGCCCGCGUCUGAUUAGCUAGUUGGUGAGGUAACGGCUCACCAAGGCGACGAUCAGUAGCUGGUCUGAGAGGAUGAUCAGCCACACUGGGACUGAGACACGGCCCAGACUCCUACGGGAGGCAGCAGUGGGGAAUAUUGGACAAUGGGCGCAAGCCUGAUCCAGCCAUGCCGCGUGAGUGAUGAAGGCCUUAGGGUUGUAAAACUCUUUUAUCCGGGACGAUAAUGACGGUACCGGAGGAAUAAGCCCCGGCUAACUUCGUG